AGACGAUUGUCUUUUCUUGACCACAGCAACAGACAAGAGUCCUGGUAGCAACUUUAACCAGCAGAAAGGUGAGUUACGAUUGACAUCUUUGAAUGGCUUUGAUGGAGGUUGAUGAAUAAAUU